GCGCCCCAAGUUCUUCCGACUUCUUCUGGGACAGGGAGGGUGGUUGUCUUGGUGACCGCUCCUAACGGUCCGGUAGCCCCGAGAUACUUGUUGAGGGGUUGCAGCCUGGGCUGCUGACUGCAGACGCCAGUGGUUCUUCCAAGUGUCCGAAGUGAAGGUGGUUUUAGCCUUCCACGCGGAGUUACUGACGCUUGAGAGAAGAUUGAUUCAAAUAACAAAAUGUCUCGAAAAAUUGCCAAGGAAUCAAAAAAAGUAAAUAUCUCCAGUUCUCUGGAAUCUGAAGAUAUUAGUUUAGAAACAACCAUUCACACAGAUGAUGUUUCCUCAUCAGAAGAGCGAGAGGGUAAAGUCAAAAUCACCAGGCAGUUAAUCGAAAGAAAAGAAAUACUUCAUAAUAUUCAGUUACUAAAAAUCGAGCUAUCCCAAAAAAACAUGAUGAUCGACAACUUGAAAAUGGACUAUCUUACAAAGAUUGAAGAGCUGGAGGAAAAACUUAAUGACGCCCUUCACCAGAAGCAGCUGCUGACUUUGCGAUUAGACAAUCAGUUGACUAUCCAACAGAAAGAUGCCAAAAAAUACCAAGAACUAAUGAAACAAGAAAUGGAAACCAUUUUGUUGAGACAAAAGCAACUGGAAGAGACAAAUCAUCAGCUAAGAGAAAAGGCUGGGGAUGUUCGUCGAAAUCUGCGAGACUUUGAGCUGACAGAAGAGCAGUAUGUGAAGCUAAAAUCCUUUCCUGAAGAUCAACUUUCUAUUCCUGAAUAUGUAUCUAUUCGGUUCUAUGAGCUAGUAAAUCCAUUAAGAAAGGAAAUCUAUGAACUACAAGUGAAGAAGAAUGAACUAUCUGAAGAAUUAAGUGCAAAUAAAGACCAGCUGAAGCAGCUGACGGAGACAUAUGAAGAAGAUCGAAGAAACAACUCUGAACUUCUAACUCGAUGUCAACGUUUAGCCUUAGAAUUAGCAGACACAAGACAGUUAGUCCAGCAAGGUGAUUACCGUCAAGAGAACUAUGACAAAGUGAAGAGUGAACGUGAUGCUUUUGAACAGGAAGUACUUGAGGUUAGAAGAAAACAUGAAAUACUUGAAGCCUCUCACAUAGCUCAAGCUAAAGAAAGGAAUGAAUUAUCAAAAGAGGUAACCACCUUGCAGCAGACAGUCACCCUACUGCAGAAAGAUAAAGAAUACCUCAAUCGCCAAAAUAUGGAGCUGAGUGUACGCUGUGCCCACGAAGAGGAUCGCCUUGAAAGGCUGCAAGUUCAGCUGGAGGAGACCAAAAAGGCUAGAGAAGAGAUGUAUGAGAAAUAUGUCACGUCCAGAGACCAUUAUAAAACAGAAUAUGAAAAUAAACUACAUGAUGAAUUGGAACAAAUCAAAUUGAAAACUAAUCUAGAAAUUGAUCAGCUUCGAAGUGCCUCUAGGGAAAUGUAUGAACGAGAAAACAGAAAUCUCCGUGAAGCAAGGGAUAAUGCUCUCGCUGAAAAGAACCGAGCAGUGGCGGCAGAAAAAGAUGCUCUAGAAAAGCACGAGCAGCUCCUAGACAGGUACAGAGAACUCCAGCUUAGUACAGAAAGCAAAGUGUCAGAAUUUCUCCAUCAGAGUCAGCUGAAGUCCUUUGAAAGUGAGCGUGUUCAACUCCUGCAAGAGGAAACUGCAAGAAAUCUUACACAGUGCCAGUUGGAGUGUGAAAAAUAUCAGAAGAAAUUGGAGGUUUUAACUAAAGAAUUUUAUAGUCUCCAAACUUCUUCUGAAAAACGCAUUACCGAGCUAGAGGCGCAGAACUCGGAGCAUCAGGCAAGGUUAGACAUUUACGAGAAACUGGAAAAGGAGCUUGAUGAAAUAAUCAUGCAAACAGCAGAAAUUGAAAAUGAAGAUGAGGCUGAAAGAAUCCUGUAUUCCUAUGGCUAUGGUGCUAAUGUUCCCACAACAGCUAAAAGACGACUGAAGCAGAGUGUCCACUUGGCAAGAAGAGUUCUUCAGUUAGAAAAACAAAAUUCAUUAAUUUUAAAAGAUCUGGAACAUCAAAAGAACCAAGUAAGACAGCUUUCACAAGAGGUGAGUAGCUGGAUCAGAAGACCUAGAAAGAAGCAUGCUGCUUUCUCUGUGCAUGCCUUGUUAACACCUACAGUUACUUGCUGAGCAGUCUGAAAAUAAGCUGGUCACAACAUGAUUUCAAACUUGUAAACUUCACCGAAUGUUGAGAGUCCUAAAUAGCUUAGUGUGUAUGGCAAAGCAGAAGAGAGGGGAAAUGGAAUGCCCAGAACGAGGAAGUGUGAUGGAGGCUAGUCACAGAGCCUCAGCCCUGAGAGCAUCCACUGGCAAGACAAGCUUGGCAGAUUUUGUUGACAUUAUUUUCUCACUGACAACUGAGUUUUAAAUAUUUGAAUUUUUUAAAGUUUCUGUUUAAUUAAAAAAUACCAAGUCUUUUAAAUUUUUUGUUUUUAUUGAAAAAAGUUUUUCAUAUACUAUAUUUUGAUCAUGUUUUCCCCUCCUCAAUUCCUCCCAGAUCUCCCUUCUCACCCAAUCUUGUUUUCUGUCUAUCUCCAGAAAAAGAAAAAAAAAAAGACAAAAAUAAAUCAAGUCAAAAACAAUCACAACAAAACAAAUCAAAAUGAAACAAACAGUCCACAAAAAUACCCUUGAGUUUGUUUGCUUUGUGUUGGCCAAGUACUCCUGGCACAGGGUUGCACUGAGUGUGGUUGGUAUAGACAGUGAGAUACCAUUAAGAGAGAACCUGUUUUCUUUUUUGUAAGUUAUAUCAGUUGCAGGUAGUUUCUUGAUUAGGGCUGGAAGCCUGUCUUAGUUGGUAUUAAUAUUGCUGUGUUGCCUUACACUUCCAUAUUGCUAUUCAUCAUCAAAGGAAGUUAGGACAGGAACUCAGAACAGGAACCUGGAAGCAGGAACAAAUGCAGACAUCAUAGACAAGUGCUGUUCCUCGUGGCUUUCUCAAUCUGCUUUCUUUUAGAGCCCAGAACCACCAGCCCAGAGGUGGCCCCACUCACAAUGGGCUGGGUCCUCCCACAUUAAUCACUAAUUAAGAAAAUGUUCCUGAGAGGGCUGGAGAGAUGGCUCAGUGGUUAAGAGCACUGACUGCUCUUCCAGAGGUCCAGAGUUAAAUUCCCAGCAACCACAUGGUGGCUCACAACCAUGGGAUUUGAUGCCAUCCUAUGGUGUAUGUAAAGAGAAUGACCUUGUACAUUGUACUCACAUACAUAAAUAAAUAAAUAUUUUUUUUAAAAAAUGUUCUAAAGGCUUUUGUCAAAUUGACAAAAACCUAGUGAAAACAGAUGACAUGUUCACCUUGCCCACUCAAUGUUGGCCCACUGCCUGGAACCUCUGCAGGUAUUGGGCAUUCUGCCAUAGUGUGAGUGCUAUAUGCAUGAAGUCCACGUUUGGCCUCUUUGUUUUCUUAAGAACCUGUUCCUUUAUCCUUAUAGUAUCUACUGAUAAAGCAUUUUUAAUGGUAAGAGGGUCUCUACACUAAGUGUUGAAAUGAGAAUAAGAAACAUCAGAGAUUAAGGUAGAUACAAUGGAAUGUGGGCAGAUGCCAACAAUGAUUAUAACAGGAGGAGAGGGGAGCUCCGUUGUCUGUGCUUACUCGUAUCUGUGGCCUAGGACUAACCAUAGGCUGUCUCUCUAACCACCAAGCCUUAUGAAGAAAGGUCUUCAGCAAACAUUAUUAUAAGAUUUAGACUGUCUAGGUGUAGUACACAUCUGUGAACUCACACAGAGGAAAUGUAACAUAACAUUUGGUGAACAUUUGACUACAUAUUCCUUUGUCUUUAAUAGAAUUGACCUUUGUAUAUAUUUAUGUACAUUUUAAUUUUGAUUGCAUUUAACAACAACCUCACAAAAUUCUACAAAUUUACUGUUGCUACAAGUAAGUUCUAGCAUACUUUUAGGUGCAAAUAGCAAUAAAAUAAUCAAAGGAAACCAAGUAUAAUGGCUCAUGUAUAACCCCAGCACUCAGGAAGCAAAGGGAGGAAGAUUAUCAUUAGGAAUCCAUGGAGAACCUAGGGCACUAAAAGAAACCCAUCUCAAAAAAAAAAAAAAAAAAAAAA